UACUAACACCAGAACCAUCAAAUCUUCGUCCAAAUCCAUCUCCCCGACCAUCUCUGCUCUCAGCCACCUCCAUAAACACAAUAAAACACCUAAUCUCUAUCUCUCUCCAUCUUAUCUUCUCCCUUAUCAAAAACAGUAACCCUAAAAGCUAGGAUUGAGAGAGAUAAGAUUAGGGUUAGCUGGAAAGUAAGCUUGCAGAGGCAAAUUGAAGAUAGAAAUGUCAGAAAACGCGUUUUGCUCGGAUCCAGUUUUCUCUCUGCUUCAGUUGGUUUUCUUCAAUUUUAGAUUUUCGAUCUUAAAUCCCCAGGCUAUUACUAAACCAAUUACAGAUGAAUGUGCUUUCAUUGAAGAAAAUGCGGGAUUCAUUUUCGGCAAUCUUACUUCCCUGAAUUUGUUCAUGUGGAUGAGAAUCAAAUAGAGCAAUGGAACCAUAGAACCCCCCUCAAGAUUUCGGAGUCACCUCGAAUGGACGGAGAAGCACAAGAACUUUGUCUAUGAGAAUCGUCAUUUAUCCCCAGAAAUGCCUAAUUAGUUGCAGUUGGAAGAAGAACAAAUUAACCAUACAUCCAUCAUAGCUAGCUGACUACCUCCAUCCUCCCAAAUCAUACCUUUGUCUAUGGUGGCAGACUAGCAGUUGAGGUUAGCAGACUUGCAAGCAUUAAGGUUGAGAGACAGACUGGAGGAAUUAUCUCAUCAAAUUAAAAGGAUCUGAUACUCGGUAUAUAUCGAUAUGUAUAAUAUGGUUUAACUCAGUACAUGUGGAUAUGUACUGGGUUUUAACUCACUACAUGUCGAUAUUUACUAAACUUGGCUAAAUUAUAUAGUUUUUGGAAGAAAUUUCUUUUGGCUCUAGGUUACUACAGGAGGAUAUGUAUUGCCAUUAUUUAAGGCUUCAUACUUUUUUCUUAGUCUCUUAUAUUAAGUUCAUACGACUAGUAUGUUGUACUAUAAGAAGUAUUGAAACACAUUCAAUUUUUGUUUUGCGAACUCUUCAUGUACUAAUAUAAUUCUGAGUUUCAGUCCUAGUUUUCUUA